rnacentral:rRNA from 1 species
UGUGGUUAUUAUAGCAAAGAGGAUACACCUGUUCCCAUUCCGAACACAGAAGUUAAGCUCUUUAGCGCUGAUGGUACUUGGAGGGCAACCUCCUGGGAGAGUAAGACAUAGCCACGU